UAUUAUAGCACAUAGUAUUAGGGGCACACAGUUUUGCUCAUGGUUUGAAGUAGUGGUUUUAUUUUUUUACCACAUCUUUCAUUUUUACAUUGUCAUUUUAUUUUUGAUUAAAUGAAGGCCACGUGUUUUAACACCAUAUUACAUAAAAUAUCUAGACACUACACAUUUGGGGUGGGGGAGGAUUCCAUCAACAUUUUUUAUAAGGGAAAACCUUAUCCCUCCUCUCAUUGUUUUACCAGGCAGUGGCACCCCCGAAUCUCUCUACCCCUUCUCUCAUGGCUAUCCGCCAUCUUUCCUAUCUCCUGCGCACACUGCCACUAGAUUUCAUCACCGGCUGGCUAGUGACUGCUACUUCAACCGCACGCCAUCACUGCGUCGUUUGAAUCACUACCACAACGCGCCAGAAGUCAUGGAUAACUUUUAGAUCUAGUCGAAAUUUAUUUUUCGGCAUAAUAUUGAACGUAUCUUCUCUUUUGGCCGUUGUUCCGGUGCUGUGGCCAUCGAAGAAACGCCUCCAACCUUGAUGACGUUGGUUGAUUUUACUGUUAAGCUGAGCUUUGAGGAGUAAACUCGGAGAUAUAAAGAUAAAUUCCCGUCACAUUUCCCGAUUUCCCGAUUCGUACUUUCCGUUCUCAGAUGUACUCAAAUACAAGUAUAGUCGAAAUCUACUUAGAAUAUUGCUUUACUUAUCCUUUUAGGUAUUUAUCUGCUCUAUCUAUCACACAUAGAAAAUCAUGUGUAGAUAAAAAAUAAUUUUAGCCGUCUAGCCUUAGCUAACAAUAGUUCACAUCAAAUACUUAGGCCUUAGACAUGUUCUUGUAAUUGGUUUGAUUACUUGAUUUGUAUUCACGUAGUUAAUCCAACUAGUUAGUUUAACUCGAGUAAAUUUGAGAUUGUGAAUAAUUUAGUUGUGUUUAGUACAAAUUUUAAAAUAUUUAAUUAUCAUUAUAUUUUUCUC